UGGGGGACUUUGACAAAGGUUUUGCAGAGC
rnacentral:piRNA from 1 species